rnacentral:lncRNA from 1 species
UGCUAUGUAAAUACCUGUCAUAAUAUAUCGUUUUUAUUCUUGAAUUAUUCCUAUGGUUUUUUCCUGAAUAUUUUGGAUGCAUCACUAGUUGAAGCCAUGGAUAUGAAAUCCUUAUAUACAAAAGGCCCACUGUAUUGUGUCAAAAUUUGAGCAUCACACUUCAAGAAGGAAAUCAACAAGUUGGAACACAUUCAGAAAAAGAUAUUUAGGGCUGAAGAAACAUCAGGUUAUACACUUACAAGAAGAAUCGAUAGAGGAGACAGCAUGUGAACUGGAUUUGUGAGAUUGGACAGAAAAACCGGAAAAAUGUCUUGGAAUCAGGGGUGAAUAAAGUGUGCUCUGCAGACUGUAAGUCUAGUUGGAGUGGAUAUUUAAAAAGUAAUUAUAUAUAAUGUAUAUUCUUUUCUGUGGAUAUGCAACUGAUUAUGGUUCUAACACUUUCUGCCCCAUUCCUAGACCCACUGAGAUCACAAAACAACUAACGAUUUGUAAACCAACAUGUGUGGCAACUCACUGAGUAAUGAAAAGAUAAGAAGGGAAUCAUUCUUCUGGGAAAGGAAGAAUCAUUGUGUCACACAAUCCUACCUAAGUUGUUUCAUGAAGCAGAAACUCCUCCACUUGGAUGGGCUGGUAAUGAAAGGAACUUUCAUAGGUCACUGUGCUCAUUUUUAAUUUGAAAAAUGUCUAUGAGUGGUGAGGAUAAGCCAUGAGACAGUUACGUGCAUGGAACAUGGGCCUUCCAAGGUACAUAAA